AAAAGCUCGUAGUUGGAUCUCAGCACCGGCCGGAAGGUCCGCCUACCGGUGGUUACUGUUCGCUGCCGUGNNUUGAGGUGGUUAUACUUGAUGAUCUUCACCGGUUGUCUCGUGUGACCGCCAAGUUUACUUUGAAAAAAUUAGAGUGCUCAAAGCAGGCGCGACGCCUGAAUAAUUGUGCAUGGAAUAAUGGAAUAGGACCUCGGUUCUAUUUUGUUGGUUUUCGGAACACGAGGUAAUGAUUAAGAGGGACAGACGGGGGCAUUCGUAUUGCGACGCUAGAGGUGAAAUUCUUGGACCGUCGCAAGACGAACUACUGCGAAAGCAUUUGCCAAGAAUGUUUCCAUUAAUCAAGAACGAAAGUUAGAGGUUCGAAGGCGAUCAGAUACCGCCCUAGUUCUAACCAUAAACGAUGCCAGCCAGCGAUCCGGCUGUGUUCCUCAAAUGACACGCCGGGCAGCUUCCGGGAAACCAAARGCUUUUGGGUUCCGGGGGRAGUAUGGUUGCAAAGCUGAAACUUAAAGGAAUUGACGGAARGGCACYACCAGRAWUGGRGCCUGCGGCUUAAUUUGACUCAACRCGSGRRWACUYUACCMGGYCCGGACACAGGAAGGAUUGACAGAUURAGAGCUCUUUCUUGAUUCUGUGGGUGGUGGUGCAUGGCCGUUCKUAGUUGGUGGRGCGAYUUGUCUGGUUWAUUCCGWUAACGARCRAGACUCUAGCCUACUAAAUAGACGCUCCGAUCAUUACAUGUCGGACGUUCUUCUUAGGGGGACAAGCGGCGUUUAGCCGCACGAGACAGAGCAAUAACAGGUCUGUUAUGCCCUUGGAUGUUCUGGGCCGCACGCGCGCCACAAUGAAGGAAUCAGCGUGUGCUUUCCCGGUCCGACAGGAUUGGGUAACCCGUUGAACCUCCUUCGUGCUAGGGAUAGGGGCUUGCAAUUAUUCCCCUUGAACGAGGAAUUCCCAGUAAGCACGAGUCAUCAUCUCGUGUUGAUUACGUCCCUGCCUUUUGUACACACCGCCCGUCGCUACUCCUAAUGGAUGUUUUAGUGAGGUCUUCGGACUGGCGCUCGGAGCGGCCUCCGGGUCGCGCCGGCGUGCCGGAAAGAUGACCAAACUUGACCCUCUAGAAGAGUAAAAGUCGUACAGGUUUCG
rnacentral:rRNA from 1 species